rnacentral:rRNA from 1 species
GAUGAACGUUGGCGGCGUGCCUAAUACAUGCAAGUCGAGCGAACGGACGAGAAGCUUGCUUCUCUGAUGUUAGCGGCGGACGGGUGAGUAACACGUGGAUAACCUACCUAUAAGACUGGGAUAACUUCGGGAAACCGGAGCUAAUACCGGAUAAUAUUUUGAACCGCAUGGUUCAAAAGUGAAAGACGGUCUUGCUGUCACUUAUAGAUGGAUCCGCGCUGCAUUAGCUAGUUGGUAAGGUAACGGCUUACCAAGGCAACGAUGCAUAGCCGACCUGAGAGGGUGAUCGGCCACACUGGAACUGAGACACGGUCCAGACUCCUACGGGAGGCAGCAGUAGGGAAUCUUCCGCAAUGGGCGAAAGCCUGACGGAGCAAUGCCGCGUGAGUGAUGAAGGUCUUCGGAUCGUAAAACUCUGUUAUUAGGGAAGAACAGAUGUGUAAGUAACUGUGCACAUCUUGACGGUACCUAAUCAGAAAGCCACGGCUAACUACGUG